rnacentral:piRNA from 1 species
UGUAGAACUGGUAGGGCAGUAUGGAA